CAUGGCUCAGAUUGAACGCUGGCGGCAUGCUUUACACAUGCAAGUCGGACGGCAGCACAGAGAAGCUUGCUUCUUGGGUGGCGAGUGGCGAACGGGUGAGUAAUAUAUCGGAACGUACCGAGUAAUGGGGGAUAACUAAUCGAAAGAUUAGCUAAUACCGCAUAUUCUCUGAGGAGGAAAGCAGGGGACCUUCGGGCCUUGCGUUAUUCGAGCGGCCGAUAUCUGAUUAGCUAGUUGGUGGGGUAAAGGCCUACCAAGGCGACGAUCAGUAGCGGGUCUGAGAGGAUGAUCCGCCACACUGGGACUGAGACACGGCCCAGACUCCUACGG
rnacentral:rRNA from 1 species